rfam:Myotis brandtii contig219345, whole genome shotgun sequence.
GGCAGUUCUCAGGUGAUGCACUCCAGAAUCGAGCUCCCUUCUCUCUGGUUCUGGGUGAAUCAGCCGAGAACUGCA